rnacentral:rRNA from 1 species
GAUGAACGCUGGCUACAGGCUUAACACAUGCAAGUCGAGGGGAAACGACGGGGAAGCUUGCUUCCCCGGGCGUCGACCGGCGCACGGGUGAGUAACGCGUAUCCAACCUGCCUCUGACUGAGGGAUAACCCGUCGAAAGUCGGCCUAAUACCUCAUGGCAUCGUCUGCGGGCAUCCAACGACGAUUAAAGAUUUCAUCGGUCAGAGAUGGGGAUGCGUCUGAUUAGCUUGUUGGCGGGGUAACGGCCCACCAAGGCGACGAUCAGUAGGGGUUCUGAGAGGAAGGUCCCCCACAUUGGAACUGAGACACGGUCCAAACUCCUACGGGAGGCAGCAGUGAGGAAUGUUGGUCAAUGGGCGAGAGCCUGAACCAGCCAAGUAGCGUGCAGGAUGACGGCCCUAUGGGUUGUAAACUGCUUUUAGGCGGGGAUAAAGUGAGGGACGUGUCCUUCAUUGCAGGUACCGCAUGAAUAAGGACCGGCUAAUUCCGUG